rnacentral:rRNA from 1 species
AGCGAACGCUGGCGGCAGGCUUAACACAUGCAAGUCGAGCGGGCAUAGCAAUAUGUCAGCGGCAGACGGGUGAGUAACGCGUGGGAACGUACCUUUUGGUUCGGAACAACUGAGGGAAACUUCAGCUAAUACCGGAUAAGCCCUUACGGGGAAAGAUUUAUCGCCGAAAGAUCGGCCCGCGUCUGAUUAGCUAGUUGGUGAGGUAAUGGCUCACCAAGGCGACGAUCAGUAGCUGGUCUGAGAGGAUGAUCAGCCACAUUGGGACUGAGACACGGCCCAAACUCCUACGGGAGGCAGCAGUGGGGAAUAAUGGACAAUGGGCGCAAGCCUGAUCCAGCCAUGCCGCGUGAGUGAUGAAGGCCCUAGGGUUGUAAAGCUCUUUUGUGCGGGAAGAUAAUGACGGUACCGCAAGAAUAAGCCCCGGCUAACUUCGUG